rnacentral:tRNA from 8 species
GGGCCUGUAGCUCAGCUGGUUAGAGCACACGCUUGAUAAGCGUGGGGUCACUAGUUCGAAUCUAGUCAGGCCCACCA